rnacentral:rRNA from 1 species
AUUGAACGCUGGCGGCAGGCCUAACACAUGCAAGUCGAGCGGAGCGGCGGACGGGGGAGUAAUGCUUAGGAAUCUGCCUGGUCGUGGGGGAUAACGUUCGGAAACGGGCGCUAAUACUGCUUCCUAUCACUUUAGCCUAGGCCGGUUUGGCUAGUUGGGGGGGUAAAGGCCUACCAAGGCGACGAUCCGUAACUGGUCUGAGAGGAUGAUCAGUCACACUGGAACUGAGACACGGUCCAGACUCCUACGGGAGGCAGCAGUGGGGAAUAUUGGACAAUGGGCGAAAGCCUGAUCCAGCCAUGCCGCGUGUGUGAAGAAGGUCUUCGGAUUGUAAAGCACUUUAAGUUGGGAGGCGUUACCAACAGAAUAAGCACCGGCUAACUUCGUGCCAGCAGCCGCGGUAAUUC